rnacentral:tRNA from 1 species
GCCUUGUUGGCGCAAUCGGUAGCGCGUAUGACUCUUAAUCAUAAGGUUAGGGGUUCGAGUAGACAUGCAUGGCU